GCCAGACUCCUACGGGAGGCAGCAGUGGGGGAUAUUGCACAAUGGGGGAAACCCUGAUGCAGCGACGCCGCGUGAGUGAAGAAGUAUUUCGGUAUGUAAAGCUCUAUCAGCAGGGACGAAAAUGACGGUACCUGAGUAAGAAGCCCCGGCUAACUACGUGCCAGCAGCCGCGGUAAUACGUAGGGGGCAAGCGUUAUCCGGAUUUACUGGGUGUAAAGGGAGCGUAGACGGUUAUGCAAGUCUGGAGUGAAAGGCGGGGGCGCAACCCCGGGACUGCUCUGGAAACUGUAGAACUAGAGUGCAGGAGGGGUAAGUGGAAUUCCUAGUGUAGCGGUGAAAUGCGUAGAUAUUAGGAGGAACACCAGUGGCGAAGGCGGCUUACUGGACUGUAACUGACGCUGAGGCACGAAAGCGUGGGGAGCGAACAGGAUUAGAUACCCUGGUAAA
rnacentral:rRNA from 1 species